rnacentral:tRNA from 1 species
GCCGGCGUGGCUCAGUGGUUGAGCGUCCACCUAAGAACCAGGAGGUCACGGGUUCGAUUCCCGGUCAAGGGCA